GUCAAUCACCAUGAUGAAGGUAUUGCCCUUUCCGGGGGCGGGGGGCAGGACUAUAAAACCCCAGAUGCCUGGACGUGAGUCAGUCUCUCUGGAAGUUCGCGAGGGAGAGACAACUGUGAUUCGAUGCUGUGAAUCAACUGAACUAACUACAGAGUGAAGCACAUAUUGGCUCAUGACACCGGCCCAAACACACCUGAUGGAGAAAGUGGACCUCCUGCAGCAGUUAAAAGGCGUGUUGUAUCAUCAUUCUCACCCAGCAGCCCUACACAAAUCAACACUUCAAGGUUUCAAGUUAUGUGCCGCACUUUAUGGACCUCGUUGAAAAUCUUCUUGCAAAAUAUCCUUAAGAUUCAAUCACCCAUUGCCAUUGAAUCACCAAUUCAACAGUAAG